rnacentral:rRNA from 1 species
CUGGGUAAGGGGUCCCCGUAGGGGUUUUAUCCUGGCUCUAAAAUUCCCCAGUGGGGGACGGAAAAUUUAUAAAUCGGAAUCUACUCUGGGGAGGGGGUUAACAAAGGAACCCUUACGCUAAUACCGCCUACCCCCUAAGGGGGAGAGGGGGGGAUCUCUUGGCCUUUCGCAAUUGACUGGGCCGAAUUCGGAUUAUGGAGUUGUAGGGGUUAAGGCCCACCACGACCACUAUCCGGUCCGAGUCUAUGAGGAUACCACUCGCACUGAAACUGAGACAAGACCCAUACUCCAACCGGAGGUGGGAAUUAUUAAACUCUGACAAUGGGCCAAAUCUGACCUCCCCUCCCGCGUGGAAAAAGGGGGCCUUCGAUGUAAAUCCUUUUGAGGGAAAAAU